GGACUCGCACAAGCGGUGGAGCAUGCGGUUUAAUUCGAUGCAACGCGAAAAACCUUACCAGGUCUUGACAUCCCGGUGACCGGACUAGAGAUAGUUCUUCCCUUCGGGGCACUGGAGACAGGUGGUGCAUGGUUGUCGUCAGCUCGUGUCGUGAGAUGUUGGGUUAAGUCCCACAACGAGCGCAACCCUUAUCAUUAGUUGCUAACAUUAAGUUGAGAACUCUAAUGAGACCGCCGGUGAUAAACCGGAUGAAGGUGGGGAUGACGUCAAAUCAUCAUGCCCUUUAUGACCUGGGCUACACGCGUGCUACAAUGGCUGGUACAAAGAGUCGCAAAACCGUGAGGUUGAGCAAAUCUCAUAAAACCAGUCUCAGUUCAGAUUGUAGUCUGCAACUCGACUACAUGAAGUUGGAAUCGCUAGUAAUCGCAAAUCAGCAUGUUGCGGUGAAUACGUUCUCGAGUCUU
rnacentral:rRNA from 1 species